CCAGCACCCCAGAGCCCUCUAUGUGCCCCCUUUUUAUUGUAGCUCCAUCCAUCCUUCCAUUCUCUAUCCUGAUUCUAUUGCAAUCACUCUCUGGUUUUCGUUAUAGCUUCAUCACCUAAGUGUGGCUUCAUUGGUUAUCUGCAUCUAGCCCAGAAAAGGGCAAAGAGAAAGUUAAAAGGGAACAAUGUAGCCCUGGAAUAGCAUCCAUCAUCUCUAAAAUAGUCACAUGCCACACGGCACUGCAGGAGACACUGGGAAAUGUGUGUUCUGGAAGAACAGUGAACAGCAACAAUCUCUGACACACUGGGCUAAUCAUAUUGGUGCCUACCAAUUAUCAAUGGUUGGUUAUGUGUCUUUUUGAGUCUUGACUUGAUGACAUUUUGCUGGCUCCUUUCUUUCCCAUACCCCUACUUCUAUUUUACAGAAUGAGGUGUUGCCCCAUUCUAGAAUGGCA
rnacentral:lncRNA from 1 species